AGAGUUUGAUCAUGGCUCAGAUUGAACGCUGGCGGUAUGCUUAGCACAUGCAAGUCGAACGGUAACAGUCCCUCACCUAGAAAUUUCUUAAAAAGAGAUUUGUAGGUGAGGGAGCUGACGAGUGGCGGACGGGUGCGUAAUGUAUAGGAAUCCGCCUGGUAGUGGGGGACAACUCGGAGAAAUUCGAGCUAAUACCGCAUAAGCCCUACGGGGGAAAACGGGGGAUCUUCGGACCUCGUGCUAUUAGAUGAGCCUAUAUUAGAUUAGCUUGUUGGUGAGGUAAUGGCUUACCAAGGCGACGAUCUAUAGCUGGUCUGAGAGGAUGAUCAGCCACACUGGGACUGAGACACGGCCCAGACUCCUACGGGAGGCAGCAGUGGGGAAUAUUGGACAAUGGGCGAAAGCCUGAUCCAGCAAUACCGCGUGUGUGAAGAAGGCCUGAGGGUUGUAAAGCACUUUCAAUUGGGAGGAAUACCUAAUAGUUAAUAGCUAUUAGAUUGAC
rnacentral:rRNA from 1 species